rnacentral:rRNA from 1 species
AUUGAACGCUGGCGGCAGGCUUACCACAUGCCAGUCGAGCGGAGUGAUGGUGCUUGCACUAUUACUUAGCGGCGGACGGGUGAGUAAUGCUUAGGAAUCUGCCAUUUAGUGGGGGACAACAUUCCGAAAGGAAUGCUAAUACCGCAUACGUCCUACGGGAGAAAGCAGGGGAUCUUCGGACCUUGCGCUAAAUGAUGAGCCUAAGUCGGAUUAGCUAGUUGGUGGGGUAAAGGCCUACCAAGGCGACGAUCUGUAGCGGGUCUGAGAUGAUGAUCCGCCACACGGGGACUGAGACACGUCCCAGACUCCUGCGGGAGGCAGCAGUGGGGAAUAUUGGACAAUGGGCGGAAGCCUGAUCCAGCCAUGCCGCGUGUGUGAAGAAGGCCUUUUGGUUGUAAAGCACUUUAAGCGAGGAGGAGGCUCUCCUAGUUAAUACCUAGGAAGAGUGGACGUUACUCGCAGAAUAAGCACCGGCUAACUCUGUGCCAGCCGCCGCCGUAAGAC